rnacentral:rRNA from 1 species
AUUGAACGCUGGCGGCAGGCCUAACACAUGCAAGUCGAGCGAGCGGCGGACGGGUGAGUAAUGUCUGGGGAUCUGCCCGAUAGAGGGGGAUAACUACUGGAAACGGUGGCUAAUACCGCAUACUAUCGGAUGUACCCAUAUGGGAUUAGCUAGUAGGUGGGGUAAAGGCUCACCUAGGCGACGAUCUCUAGCUGGUCUGAGAGGAUGAUCGGCCACACGGGAACUGGAAAACGGCCCAGACUCCAACGGAGGGCAGAGGUGGGAAAAUUUGAACAAGGGGGGCAAGCCUGAGCAGGCCAGGCCGGGUGUAUGAAGAAGGCCUUAGGUUUGUAAAGUACUUCAGCGGGGAGGCGUUACCCGCAGAAGAAGCACCGGCUAACUCCGUGCCAGCAGCCGCGGUAAUUC